AACAGUUGUGUGCAAGAAAAUAUUACAACAUCGAUUAAGGGAUCAUGGCUUCAAUGGAGUCAAAAGUGAACUUCCAUGACCUAAACUAUAGUCUAAUUUUACAUAAUGAACAACUUCAAAAUUACAUAAAUGUUAUAUUUCAUGGAGGAGUAACUUCACACAUACCGUAUUUAUACACAAAUAUUUUAUGAAUAAUCAAGGCAGAAAAGGAUUAUGAGAAGGAUAAUCUGCCUUCUGUUUUCUGUAGGCCCUGGCAACAUUUGUUCCUCCCAAUGCUGCAGUUCCCAAGAUAAUAAAAAGAAAGGGAAGCCCAAUCAGUGCAUGGUUUCUCGUCCUCCCUCCUCCUCCUCCUCCUCUAGGAACACCACUUCUUACAACACGCGAAUAUCCAACUACAUGUUCACCUUCUUGUCUUGCACCAGAAAGCAGGCAAGUGUAUGCUUCUGAAAUCAUCUUAAAUUUGAGUUCUGCAUUAGGUUUGAGAUGAACUGGAAAGCAAUCAGGAUGAGUCUCCCAUACCUUCCUUCUAUAAGCAGCUUUGACCUGAGAAGCAUUGGGGCAAGAACUAGUGGGAAAGCCUAGCAAGAGUUUUGCCUCAUCCAUCAACAUCUCAACUAUCUAAAAUUGUGCCACAAUUAACCUAAAAUCAGAUCUGAGACGCUCAGAGAAAUGCUAACAAUUAGCAGAUGAGGUACGUGGACUGAAUUUGAAGCAUUU
rnacentral:misc_RNA from 1 species